UUCAACUCAUCAUCUUUCUCCGCAUUUCUCCUUCCUGCUCAACGUGCUUUGCCUACACAACACAAAGAUGUGCUCUCGCAGAUCUUGCCAUGACCACGGAUCUUCAUCCCACGGAUGCCACGGUCAUGAAUCGUCCUGCCACGGCUCUAGCUCCUCCAUUCCCUGCAUCAUCGAGAAACCUGUGCCCAUCUGUCCCGUGCAGCCCUGCUGCCCCCCUGUGCAGCAAUGCUGCCCACCCGUGCAAAAGUGCUGCCCCCCCGUGCAGCAAUGCUGCCCACCCAUGCAAAAGUGUUGCCCCCCUGUGCAGCAAUGCUGCCCACCCAUGCAAAAGUGCUGCCCACCUGUGAAGUGCUGUCAGCAGACCAAGCAGUGCUGCAAGUUCCCUCCACAGUGCCCCAAGUAAGAGCCGCAGCGACGAGGAGGAUGCCAAGACCUGCCCACUCCAUUCAUCUCCUUGGGAUGGUGGCAUACCUGCCUAAAGCCUCUUCUGUCUGCAUUCAUCGUCUGUCAUGUGUUUCCACUUCUCCCAUUUACUUUCAUUUCUAAAUGCCUGGAGUAUCCUUGGAGACAUCUCUCCCUGAAAGGAGCAAAGUACUCUUAUGAGGCACCAUGUGUGGAGUGAUUUUUGCCAUGUAUGUGUCAGAGUCCUUCUCCAACCUCAUUCCUUUUCCAGCCUCGAAAUCAACAUGCAAAUACAAUAAAGCUCCUCUUUCCUGAAA